UACGAAGGGGGCUAGCGUUGCUCGGAAUCACUGGGCGUAAAGCGCACGUAGGCGGAUUGCUAAGUCAGGGGUGAAAUCCUGGAGCUCAACUCCAGAACUGCCUUUGAUACUGGCGAUCUUGAGUCCGGGAGAGGUGAGUGGAACUGCGAGUGUAGAGGUGAAAAUUCGUAGAUAUUCGCAAGAACACCAGUGGCGAAGGCGGCUCACUGGCCCGGUACUGACGCUGAGGUGCGAAAAGCGUGGGGGAGCAAACAGGG
rnacentral:rRNA from 1 species